rnacentral:rRNA from 1 species
GUGGGGAAUUUUGGACAAUGGGCGAAAGCCUGAUCCAGCCAUGCCGCGUGCAGGAUGAAGGCCUUCGGGUUGUAAAGCUCUUUAGUCCACGAAUAUAAUGUCUGUAGUGGAAGAAUAAGCCCCGGCUAACUUCGUGCCAGCAGCCGCGGUAAUACGAAGGGGGCGAGCGUUAUUCGGAAUCACUGGGCGUAAAGCGUGCGUAGGCUGUUUUGUAAGUCAGAAGUGAAAGCCCAGGGCUUAACCCUGGAAUUGCUUUUGAAACUACAAGACUCGAAUUCGGGAGAGGAUAGCGGAAUUGUCAGUGUAGCAGUGAAAUGCGUAGAUAUUGACAGGAACACCAGUGGCGCAAGCGGCUAUCUGGACCGAUAUUGACGCUGAGGCACGAAAGCGUGGGGAGCAAACAGGAUUAGAAACCCGUGUAGUCC